rnacentral:rRNA from 1 species
AGUGAACGCUGGCGGUAGGCCUAACACAUGCAAGUCGAACGGCAGCACAGUAAGAGCUUGCUCUUACGGGUGGCGAGUGGCGGACGGGUGAGGAAUACAUCGGAAUCUACUUUUUCGUGGGGGAUAACGUAGGGAAACUUACGCUAAUACCGAAUACGACCUACGGGUGAAAGCAGGGGAUCUUCGGACCUUGCGCGAUUGAAUUAGCCGAUGUCGGAUUAGCUAGUUGGCGGGGUAAAGGCCCACCAAGGCGACGAUCCGUAGCUGGUCUGAGAGGAUGAUCAGCCACACUGGAACUGAGACACGGUCCAGACUCCUACGGGAGGCAGCAGUGGGGAAUAUUGGACAAUGGGCGCAAGCCUGAUCCAGCCAUACCGCGUGGGUGAAGAAGGCCUUCGGGUUGUAAAGCCCUUUUGUUGGGAAAGAAAAGCAGCAGGUUAAUACCCCGCUGUUCUGACGGUACCCAAAGAAUAAGCACCGGCUAACUUCGUG